rnacentral:rRNA from 1 species
UACGAAGGGGGCUAGCGUUGCUCGGAAUCACUGGGCGUAAAGCGCACGUAGGCGGCUUCUUAAGUCAGGGGUGAAAUCCUGGAGCUCAACUCCAGAACUGCCUUUGAUACUGGGAGGCUCGAGUCCGGGAGAGGUGAGUGGAACUGCGAGUGUAGAGGUGAAAUUCGUAGAUAUUCGCAAGAACACCAGUGGCGAAGGCGGCUCACUGGUCCGGUACUGACGCUGAGGUGCGAAAGCGUGGGGAGCAAACAGG